rnacentral:rRNA from 1 species
AGUGAACGCUGGCGGCAGGCCUAACACAUGCAAGUCGAGCGGCAGCGGGUCCUUCGGGAUGCCGGCGAGCGGCGGACGGGUGAGGAAUGCGUCGGAAUCUGCCUUUUUGUGGGGGAUAACGUAGGGAAACUUACGCUAAUACCGCAUACGACCUACGGGUGAAAGUGGGGGACCGCAAGGCCUCACGCAGAAAGAUGAGCCGACGUCGGAUUAGCUAGUUGGCGGGGUAAAGGCCCACCAAGGCGACGAUCCGUAGCUGGUCUGAGAGGAUGAUCAGCCACACUGGAACUGAGACACGGUCCAGACUCCUACGGGAGGCAGAAGUGGGGAAUAUUGGACAAUGGGCGCAAGCCUGAUCCAGCCAUGCCGCGUGUGAAGAAGGCCUUCGGGUUGUAAAGCACUUUUGUCCGGAAAGAAAUCCUGUCGGCUAAUACCCGGCGGGGAUGACGGUACCGGAAGAAUAAGCACCGGCUAACUUCGUG